GUUAACCAUGCAUGUCUUUAUACAUUUACGAUAGGUGAUUUUUUUUUAUUCUUUAGUUAUUAAAAAAUUAAACUCUAAUGGAAAUGGCUAACUUGGUAUAUUUUUGUACAUUUUCUCUGUAAUGUAAAUUUUAAAUUUAUUUAUAUUUAAUGUAUGGUGCCUUUCUCAAAAAAAAAAAAAAAAAAUGUAUGGUGCAAGAAAUUUUAAAUAUAUAUUUCAUGUCCCGCGCAUAGUGAUGGCAAAAGAAGUGGGUAAAGUUAGCCAUUGUGAUUUGCCAUUUUAGGAAUAUUUUCUAAUAUAUUCAACAAUUUGAGGACAUAAAAGAUGACAAAUUAAGAUAAGCAUGGACCGCGUGGCCAUGGACCAGUAAAAUUUAUAUCACCCGGAAAGAGUGGGUAACCAUCAUCAUCAUUGUCAUUAUAUACAUCAUCAUCAUCAUGAUCAUCAUUAACAUCAUACCAUGCCUUUAUCAAUAUCAUUUAAACACCAUAUCGUCAUAACUCAUCAGCUUGCCAUCUGAAGUAGCGGCAUCACCAUCAAUUCCUCCACCACCAAACUAUCAUCAGUAUUAUUCUCUUAUCAUCAUCAUCAUCAUCAUCGCCAUCAUUAUCCCAUCAUCUAAGUGGGAUUUUUAAAAGCAUUUGCGACAUAAAACAUAGUAACUUUAGUAGUAUACAUAUAAGUGCCUUUUUACAAAACGAAACAAAGCCAAGAAUCAGAUCACUCAAAAUACAUUAAAUCCCAAUAUAUACAAUAUACUGGCACUUAGAGAGAAGCUGUUCAGCUUCAGCUUCUUGGUUUGAUUUAAUGUCGUUAUCGCCGUUUGAUUGUCCACGGCAAAAUGAGCGGAAUGGGAGCAUUGUCGGUGAAGACUCUCCGACUUGAUGUGUCCUCAAUCCUCAUACUUCCACUGGUCCUAAAAGCCACGCCAUUUUGUUUACACCAAGCGAACCACCGCUGUAAAUUCAUCAAAGAAGUUGACCACGGGUUAAUACUUUUGAAGGCAUGACUGAGUAUGCCUCCAGUUAUUUAUGCAUCUUGACACGAGAUUACUUGUCUUGCUUAGUCAAAAGCUUGUAAGAACUUGUCAACUUGAACUUGAAAAUAUUUGUAACAUAUUUUUUUUGGUUGGUGCUUAUACUUCCUUACAUAUUGUUUUCCUUAGCUACACUAGUUUUCUUUUAAAUUGUUUUUAUAUGUUUUUAUUUCCGUUAAUUACAUUAUUAAACGAAAUUUUACACUAGUUUUAUUUUAAAUUGUUUUUAUAUGUUUUACAAUGCAAACUCUAGUCUAUAUGUGCUCCAUAUGUACAACACAAUUACAAAGCAAACAAUGUUACAAUUAAACCAAAAACAAAAAUGUAAAUGACCUUCAAAUCGAACUGCAUAUAUAAACUACCAAGCCUAAUUAACAUAAAGGUAAUUUAUUAAUUAGCAGUUUUUUUUUUCUAGCCCCUAAUAUAUUUAGUGUUUUCUUAAAUAUUUUCUUUUUUGCUAAAACUAAACUGUUAUAUAUAAUAAUAAAAAUCAAUAAAAGUUUAUUAACAGAAAUCAAAAGUUUUAUAACCUUUUAUUGAUUUUUUUACGGAAAUUAGUGAUAGAUGUUGACCAAAAAAAAAGAAACUAAAAGCUCAUAUCAUUCAUUAGCAUAGUACAAAUUGAAAAAUAAAAUAGUUUUUUUUUUAACUAUGAAAAAAAAAGUUGUAGACGUAUAUGUAUAUCAAAUACGGUUAGCCACAUGCGACCAGCCAGCCAACCCAAACUAAAUACAAAUUAUUCAAGUAUAUAAUAUCAUUAUUUAUAUGAUAAUCACACAUGAAAUCAACCAAGAGGGAGUUACUAGCUCAUAAGCUUCGUGGAGCAUCAGCCACUUCCUUCUCUCCACAACAUCUCACUGUAAAACUUAAUUAGAGUGUUAUUAUUCAGCAAAGUCUUCCUUGCAUCAGCGACUGGUAAAUGGGUUUGCUGAGAAAACAGCAGUAUUUAUGGAACUAGUCAGGAUGACGUUGAUCAGACUAAAUGUGGCAGAGAGGACGCCAUCCGGUACGACAAGAUUGCAAUUUCCUGCGGGAAGAUUAACUCCGAGACCGCAAAAACUAGGGUCAAACAAAGCAUUGUUUAAAAUGUUGAGCACGAUGGUAAAUGCACCGGUCGUAUUGGUCACUGCUUGACCGAGACUAGUGGUUGAGCCGGCACAGGUUAAGUAAACAGUGGCAUUCGAGAUCGCAGGGGCUCUAGGAUCUCCGACAGGUGAACAAUACACGACACCUUCAAUUAUGAUACGGGUUAUGUUGAUGCCAGGGACUGAGACUAUGCCAUGGGAAGGAGAUGACAGUGCAGCCAUGAUGAUAAGUAUGGAGAUGAGACCACCAUUUAGUUUCACCAUUUUUUUUUUGUACUCUGAUAUGAUUUGUUUUGUAGAAUGGUUUUUCCUGUCUAUUGCUACGAACUGAAGAAGCAUAUGGAAAGGGGUAUUUAUAUGGGAAGAAUGAAUGGAUUUACGUAUGCCGUAUUGUUACGGAUGUGUUUUCUAACUCUCUCUCAGUUGUAUUGGUUGUAGAUGACUGUUAGGUCUUUUUUUGUGCGAGCCAUCCUUGCGCAGGAGCCAAAGGGGCAAGGGCGAUGAAUGUUAUUUCACAUAUGAUGUGAAUAUUAUUAUUAAAUGUAUGUACUGUAUAUGUGGUUUUUCGUGCACGAGAUCAUUUUGAAGUUACUAAAAAGUGUUUACUGCAUUAAAUUUCUCCAAGAAAAAUGAAAUAGAGAAAUAUGUGUUCCUUAUUAGAAGAGUUUCUAUCAUAUUAGCAAAAUCGUAGUUAAUGCGUUUUGUACGUCUGGGAUAUCUAUAACUCUAUUAUGAGGUUCAUAUUCGUCGUUAAUUAUAACUAUAAAUGUUAAAUAGAUGAAUAAUCAUGUCAUGAAAAAAAUCAAUUACAGUAUGUUGUGUUUCCGUGCUUUUUGGUUGCCAUUGGGGUCAAACUUUCGUAAGAACUAAUCGAUACUUUGACUGCAAGGUGUGACGUAAGCUCGGAUUCGGAAUUAGUUCAUCAUGCUAGAGGAUCUUCCCGGUCCACAGUACUUUUUUACAAUACAAUACGUUGCCUACUUAAACCAAGAGUCAAAUCUUUCAAUCAAUCCUUAUAUUCACUAGGCACUGAGAAAAUGUUCAGCUUCCUUUGGUCUUGAAUCAAAGCCGUCCUUGUCGUUCGUUUCUCCACCGCAAAAGAAGCGGAAUAGGAGCGCUGUCCAUGAAGACUCUCCUGCCGUCUCUUGUCGUGUAUUCAUACUUCCACUUUGGUCCUAGAAGCCAUGCCAUUGCAGUUCCACCAAGUAAACCACCAAUCUGAAUUCAUCAGAGAUAUUAUUAUCAGACCACUUGCAUUCGGUCAUUGAUCCAAGAAAAUCAAAAUGGUUUAUACAUUUGAAGGCAUGAUUGGGUUACUUACAUGUCCCCAGUUAUCUAUGCGUCUGGACAUUAGACCCAUUGUCUGCAUAGUAAUUAAAGCUAGUUAGAAUUUGAGAGACAUUAUCCAAAUUUAUAAUUCUAUUGUAGCAAUUAUGUUUCUUUCUGUUUACUACUUACCAUGUUUAAAGCAAUAACUUGAGCUAUCUGCAUUAGAUCUUCGUUGCCACCUCCGACCAUCUGUUUGUGUCUUAUAACAAAUACCGCUACCGAGCCAACCUACCAGAAUUAUAGGACAUUCAUUUAACAAACUUCAUCUGUACCAGAGAACUCUGAAACAAAGGCUUAUGGUUUUAUGGGACUUACCAAUCCAAAAAUUGCACCCGAAGCACCAACUGAUGGCGCUUUGUUGAACCAGUAGCUCAUUGCUGAACCUAGAAUUCUUAAGAUGGGUUCUGUGAGUCAGGAAACUCGAAACACAGAAAUAUACUCAUCCACAUCAAAGUCUAUGAACAAUUAGUUACUUGCAAUUGCGGAUGUCAAGUAAACGGAAAUAAAUCGCUUUGGGCCACCUAAACUCUCAACAGUCGGUCCAAUGGAAUUCAAAGAAUAGCAGUUUAUCUAAAACCAAGAGGAAGAAACAGUUUAGCCACACAGACAGCAAAAGGAAAAAAGAAAAAAAGUAAGCAGCAUUGAUAAGAAAUAACAAAAACUGAAUGAUUGGUUAGAAACAGACCAAGAGAUGCAUAGGAUUCGCAUGAAGAACAGAAGCUGUAGCCAGUCUCCAUAGCUGACCUCUUUCGAUUAAACUAUUUAUCUGCAUUCAUCCACAUAUAUCGAUUUGCAGCAAGAAAAACAAACAGUCUCACAUUGUUAAUUAAGUCUCUGCAUAUGUUUUUACCUUGGCUCCCCAUGUAAGCACUUUCCCAUCAGAUGCAACUUGUGCAAUAUACAUUCUGGCAUCAUUAACACAAAAUGAUAUCAAUAAUAAGCAUCUGUAGCUCAUAACCUGAUCAAGCCUUAUAAAAAGCAUUCCACAAAAUGCCACAACAACAUAUCAAACCAAAAGAGCGUACAUUACGUUGAUGGCAAGGAGGACAUUGGUCCAUCGCCUUCCGUUAACUGUGUUUCUCUUGGAAGUCUCAGGGACCGAUGAUCCUUCCUCACCUCCUCUAGGGUUGAUCCUACUCCCUCCACCAUUAAAGAAACAUACAAACGACGAAGACGGUGACAUUCGGAUAUCAACUCUAGACUUGACAAAACUCGACCCAUUGAGUAGAAUCACUCUUCGGUAUCUUGCAAACUCCAUUCUCGCAGCAUCCGAAAAAAGCUGCAGUCUCUGUCGAAACAGCACAUAUAUAGUCAAACAAAACCGAGAUUGGCUUUGAAAGCUUGUGAAAUUUCACAAUCUCCAUAAAAUCAAAAGCACCAGACAAAGCAAUUUUAACACAAAGAGCUACAAUUAGUCUCAGAUUGAGGAGAAGAAGUGAUAAGAGACGGAGUAAGGCGAACCUGAAGGGAAGAGCGAAGAUGGGAGCUAAGGCGGAAGUGACGGGUAACAUGGUGGCAGGCGUGUACGGAUGCGACGGUUGCGAGACCUCGAAACGCCGUAGAUCCAGAUUCCGGUGGCCAGAGAUUGUGGUGAGGUAAUGACAGUGAUGAUGAUACCAUCUCCUCCUCCUUCACGGCUUCUCCAACUACUACUGAUGUGAUUUCUGAUUUUACCCUCUUGCUUCAAUUUUUAAUUUUUUUUUCGCUUCUUGCGUUUGUUACCUGUACAGGCUGUACCGAACCCAAAUCCAAUUCGAAUUUUAUAAAACAGAACCGUUUAACCGAACUUCACUAAAUAUUUGUAAAAACCUAUUCAUUUGUGCUUUGUGUUCGUUUUAGAGGAAUAUCUGUUUUUAGUAUUUGCUUUCUUUGGUACAAGUAGGCCGAAAGGAACUUUUGGAUCAAAUCAAAAAUCAUAGAAACGCUCCCAAGGACAAAAACUUAUCCUAAAGGUCAACAAAAAACAAGUUAAUUAGAUAAGUCUUUGAGUACUAAAAGAACGUAAAAAGGACAACUCCGUUAUUUUCAUUCAUGUUUUUUCUUUCCUAUCAUAGUUCUCUACAGAUAUGGAUGAUUUAGUUACUCUGAAUGUGAUGUUUCCCGUAUUUUUGUUGACUUGAACCUUAAAUGGUUACUCUUUUGUUCCGUUGUGUUGGUUUGCUAAUGAUAUCGAUGUCCGGUUCCUGAAACAUGCUGUCUUCUUUCUUGUUUUUCAUCGUACACUCUUGUCUUAACGUGAUUUCUUAUCAGUUAUAACCAAGUAAUGUGUAAGCUUAAGUAAAGAGUCUACUCAUUAAAUGUUCAAUUGAUUUUCGAAUAGAGAAGAGGGUUAAUAGUAGACGUCUGACUCUCACAGUAGUAACUGAGUAUUGAGACAAUAUUUUGGAUCUGCCAAAAAAAAAAAACCAAAAGCAUAUAGAUAAAAGAGAAAGACAAGGGAUUAGCAUGAAUUGUGAAGGUAGAUGAGUGGUUUCUUCUAUUCACAAGCGAGCUUGGUGUCAAAGCUGCUUAAGCAAAUUGCAAACGCCUGAAACGCCGACAAUGGAUACCUAUAAUCCAUUGUGAACAUAUCUUUACCCACUUUACCAAACUGGAGAAUCACCUUGUCUUGCUCCGGGUGAGGGGGAGCAGCCGCUGCCCCGCCUGUUCCUUGAGGCUGCGGCUGUCUUGCUGCUACAAGCUGGAAAUUCUUUACCGAUGCAACUGUCACUCGUCCGCGGAAAUUCAAACACCAGCAUUGUAACUGCUCGUGCCACCUCGGCUGCUUGUUCUUUAAUAUCAAUGGUCUGAAACUUGCUUCUUCUUCGUUGUCUUCGCAGGAUAUUCCGAUUUCAGAGAAUCUUGAACUGUUGAAAUCGAGGGAGCGGUGGUCGAAUGACGAUUUGGAAAAGGAGAUGUUACUGCGGAAUGAUUCAUCGAGAGAGUAUGGAGCCGGGAUUAGUUUAUCGGGUUGGUUAGGGACCGAACCGCCUGGUUCAAGUGAUGAAAUUGGGAUGGAGUUCAUGAUGCAGUGCAUUCGCCGUGGCCCGCGUGUGCCCAACACAUUGAGCUCAUAGGUGAUUUGAGCAAUGUUGUAGCUGCCGGAUGGGACUUUAGGAGAAACUCUUCUGGAGUGAAAUCUGCUCCUGCUUGUUCGAUCAGUGAUCAGUGCACUCGAAGAUGUGUUUGGUGGUGGUUGUGUGUCGUACACCAAGAACUUUGUCCCAAGGAAGUUUGAUCUGAGAGAGAAAGAAACCUCAAUGAGCUUGAGUUAUAGGAAUCACUAAAGAUACAUUUUCUACACACAAGAAAUCCAAACCAGACACGUACCAAUCCAUUUGGUUUUUGUAUUUCAAAAUGCAAGAGAUUUGAACCAAAAGCAUCAAGGACUGAAAACGAACCUGAGUUUUCCAAGGUAAGAGUUGCUGGAUCUUGAGAUAUUAUCAGCAUCCAUGGAGAUAAUGUACUCGGUCCGAGUAGUUCUACGAGUUCUUUUAGCCGAAAGAAGAAAUUUCCCAUUCUCCACUAGUAGAGCUGGAAAAAAAACAUUACUCAAUUUUUAUUUAGCCUAAAAACUAAGUGAAUUAAGAAAACAAGUAACUUGAGUCCAAACAAAGCUUACCGGGACUUAAACAAAGAAAAAGGUGAAAUGUUAGUUUUGAUUUAUCCCUUUUAAUGAAACACUGAAUCAUUGCAUCACGCGGCCCUGGCUGCAAAUUUUUACAUCACAAAACAAAAAGCUUAUUCAUCAGUAGUUUGAACCAAACAACAUCAAAUUAGCAACAAGACCGUAGGGAGCAAAACCAAACCUGUUUGAGGGAAACUGGGAAAGUGAGCUUUCCACAGAUUUCAGGACAUAAAACAAUCUCUUGGCACAUAGCUCUCCAAGACCGACAAACCGAAGCACAAGCCACGACAUGUUUUCUUGCAGGCCAAUUACUCUCACUCUCCUCUAAUCUUUUGAUCACAUCAAAGAGUAGCUCUGGAGGAAGAUUAGCCCAUCUGCUUGUCUGAACUAUCACAGGCGACAAGAGAUCACGAGAAGACGAAUACUCACGGAACGAAGAGCCCUGAGAUUUCCCUUUAUGAAGACUCGAAAGCCUGAAAUCAAAACUCCUCCUUGACAAGCUCCCAAACCCAUCUCUCAAAUCUUGAACAAUGCUCCUAAACGACAUUUCUCUCUUUCUCUUUUCAAAGAUUCUUCUCAACAAGACCAAAAACCUCUCUUUACAACCAGAAAUGCCUAAAUCCAAUAAAGAGCUUUACACUGAGAUGAGAGACUCCACUCACUGUCCAUUAUCAUAAGCACCCAUAAGAGAAAAAAGUGAAUCAGGUUAGCAAUUCUGAGUCAUCUUCUUAAUAAGUAAGAAAUAAAAGAAAAAGAGCCAAGAAAAAAAAGUAAAGUGGAGCCUAAAAGAGAAAGAAGCUUGGCAAAAGCUUAGGAAAGAAAAGAUAUACAAGCAUCGCAUGCCCAAUAAAGAAACUAGGUCACGUCCCCAAUAUAGCUUUUCUUUCUUUCUUAGGGACAAUAAUUAAACACAGAGAAUCUGAUGAUAAUUCACCAAAAAUGCCCCAAAAUUGAGAUCAUAAGAUGCAUAAUCAGGACGCAAAAUCUGAUAUUGAAGCAAAAAAGCUCAGAUAUUACAGCUAAUACUCUUACUUAAACUGGAGAUAACAGAGUCGUAUCCACACACACACACACACACAUAAAAAAAAAAUCAAGAGCAUUAAACAGUUUCCACAAAAUUCAGGUCAUCAUAUUCAAACCGAAUCUUUACAAAAAGGGAAAUUUACUCAUCUGAUUUACUUGUACUACUAGAAAGUCAAAAAUCUAAGUUAAUUUCAGACAAGAGUACAAGACUGUUUUUUAUGACAAACAAAAGAUUAUACAACAACAAGAAUCAGAGAUUUGGGCUAGAUAAAGAUCAAAGACAGAAAAUGAAAAGGGUUAGUAAAGGAUGAACCUUUGAGACAAGCUGAUGAAAACCCAGAAGCUUUUUAAUUACACCCAAUCUAACAAAUCUCUUCAACUUCAGCUUCUAUCGCCGACCAAAACCAGAAGCUCAGCAAAAAAGCAAAGAAGAGAAUCAGGGAUUCUUCUUACAAAAAAAAAACUCUUAAAAUCCUCCGGAAAUUACGGAUAAACAGAAGAAUUAGAGACAAGAUCACAGAGAUUUAAGCAGAUCUAUAGGAGAGCCUAAAUCUAAACACAAAAGAAGCCAUAAAGUCAAAGAAGAACAACAACAAAAACCAGAAAAAGAUAAAGUCGUCUUCUUCUUUCUUUUUUUUGUGCCUUCUUCUCUCUACUUUUUUUUAUUUCCAGUACUCAGGAGCUUUUCUUGAUUUUACUUUAAUAGUUCACGAGACAGCAAGAAAAUGAUUUAAGAAUUAUAAUAUAUAAAUAAAAUCUAGAGGGACUCUCUCAAAUGGCUUUUUUUUCUUCUUCUUCUUCACUUCCUUGUUGGAUUUUUCUAUCGAAUUUAUAUGACAAUUUUAUAUAUAUAUAAAUCUUGUAUACGGAAGAGAGAGAGAGAGAGAAUGAAAAUUGUAAUAAGUGGACAUUGUGAAGCAUUAUUGUCCACGAGGCCGCAUGACCUACGCCUCGCAUCAAGCGAAGACCCAACCAUAGUUUUGACUUUUAACAAAACCAAAUAGCCAAAAAAAAGAGUUAAAACCUUUUUUAACUAAAUUGUUGUAACACUGAUAGAGAUUUUACACCAUUGAACUUGGAGUCUUAUCACUGAAUAAUACAAAUCAUUUCGAUAUUGAUUUAUACGGUAUGUUUCAUCACAUCAAUUUUUUUUUUCUUAAGUCAAAUUUCUUGUUAGUUUAUAUAUCAUAAAUUUAUAAUUAAAUGAAUUGGAGUAUGAGUAGAUCUAUGAUGAAAGGAUAUAUAUACAAUUAAAAUAUUACUCUUUAAAAUAUUAAAUACCUAACCCCAUUCAAUUUUUAGUAAGUUAUUAUGAACUUUCAGAAAAAAUCAAAACGACUUAAGAUACUUUAUUAAAUACUUUUGGGGGAUGAGAAAAGUUUAGCUCAAGCCUUAAAAGUUUCAAGUUAUAACUAUACGAUUUGGCGAACACGUUUUUUGUUCUUAUAUAAAACCAUGCACUAUGUGAAGAGUAUUGGAUUUUAACAGUACUUCUAUAGAAUCUGAGAAAAAUUUCGAAUCUUUAAAUAGGUUUAUGCAUUGUUUUAUCAAAUAUCAGAUCAUUUGGUUUACAAACACGAUCUUAUCAAUAUCUAUAAUUAUUUAAGAGAUGUUAUUAUAAUCUGAUGAUUCAGAUCGACCAAGAUUAGAUCGGUCAGCAAGCCUUAAUGCCUAGCUCUACUCUAGCCCAUUUCAAUUUUCAGAUAAGAGUAGUAAAUCUUUCGGGUGGAGAACAUAUAAGUCCUCGUGCUUUCUAUUUAGUAACUUGUUACAAGUGUGUAUGCAACCCACUUUUAUUGAUAGAGAUCGAAAUGACACGCAUACAUUUUGCUAUAUCAUGAUUCAUCUCUUGUAAAUGCCCAUGUGGCAUUAUGAAUAUUUUGCUACCUGCUGUCGAUUGUAUAGGCAUCAAUUACCAAUAAUGCACUGUUUUAUUUAUGGGUGAUUACAAACUAUAUCGACGGUAUGGCAUCAUGAUCAUUGUCAUGCUACCCGUUCAAAAGUUUGUAUUAUGUAGAAACUUUUCUUUUAAUAGUAUAGAUUCUUUUUUUAAGAAUCUAUAUAUUCCAAUAUUAAUCAUAGUUUUGCGCAUACCGCAUAUUAUUAUCUAGCCAUAUAUAGUUGUUGUUGUUGGUUACAACAUAACUAUAUGAAAUGGAUCGUAGUGAAUAUGAAGUUUAAGCACGAGUCUCUUUUGUCUUUUCACCUCCUGCAAUUACAAAAAGUACAUCAACAUGAUCAGUUCCGAGUGCCCUUUUGGUUUCCAUAGAGUUACAAAAGCAUCUCAUCGUUCCACAACUCAUGAUCCGGUUCUAGCAGAUAAACAUAUGGUAUUAAGUUUCAUCCAUACAAAAUUCAAGAUCAGGUUUCAUUAAUCUAUUCUACUAGACAAAUUAAUAUUGUUACCUGUACCGCCACACCGAACGUAGCAUUUGUGGUGACAUCGAAUCAGCUUUUUAUCUGUAUUAAAAGAGAGAAUAUUAAAACGGAUGUGUACAUGGAAGCUAAGGAUGAUUAAGUAAGAAGGGAGUACUACUCACUGUCGGGAUUGACACAGCCAGUGGUGCAAGCGUCGUAGCAGUUGACUGCGUCUAGCUUUCUAAAUGGUUUGGGGCCUAACUUAGCCUCCGCCACCAUAUCCAUGUUGGAAAACAAAGCCACCAGAAUCAGAAGUGUAGCCACUACCGUCACUUGCUUCUUCAUCAUUCUCUCGAUCACUCCCGGAUUUUCUCUUUCGUUAUCUCUUAGGUCUUCUUUGUUUUUGGCCUUCUCCCUCUAGUCAAGGGCGAUCUGUUUUUGGGUUUUAUAAAAGAUCUACGAAAGAAGAAAAAAAAAAAAAGAGGCAAUGUUGCCAUGUUUGACUACUUGUCCAUAUGUACACGCGUCAUGAUUUAUCUCCCUACAUUUCCUAUCCUUUUAUAUAUCCAAACCCUAUUACAUUGAAUCUAAGUGAAAAAUAGAUCACCGACGUAUAACGUAUAAAAAUUCAUUAUGAGAUAGACAUGCAAUCCUAUGUAUAUUAACAAAAAAAAAUUAACUUUUAUCCAAUGAUAGUCUUUAUUUGAUAUAUAAAUCGCGUAAUAGCUGUCACUAUAUUGCUCCCUACUUUUUUUUUUUUUCCUUUUUAUAUUGAUAAUAGCCUACUUGUUGUUUUACUAAGGUAGUGUAUUACAGUGUUGCUUAGUUAUUGCAGCAAAAAGCAUCCAAACACAGUCUACCUUAAUUUCAAUCUCGUAAAUUAAC
rnacentral:lncRNA from 1 species